ACACUUGGGGGAAUUCUAGGGUGAUGUUUUUUUUUCAUUAUAACAGUAUAUAUAUAUAUCCAAUGCUGAUUACUUUUACUGCAUCACAGAGUCAGCUAGCAGGCAACUAUAAUAUAUGUAGUAGUGGCUUUGACAUAUUCAACGCUGAGUUUAAGGUUUGAUUAAGAUACACAAGACACAUAAAUUUUUACAUGUAUAUUCCUGACCAUUUUUGUCUUCAUUUAGAAAUGUUUAAACGGUUACUGCAGGCAGCUGUGUUUUUUAGGGUUUGUCAUCUCAUACUGUUUUUCAUCCAUCAUAGUUCUAAACAACAAAGGUACAGUGUUUCAGAACUAAGAAGGAAAGGGGGCUGAAUUAUAAGAUCCUUUUUCAUAAAGAAUUACUCUUGCCUCCCUUCCCUUUGUUAUUACCAGUUAAAUUUUAAUUAAAUAAAGCUGAUGAUUUUAAAACACAAUGAACAAAAAGAUCAGCAAUACAGUUAUUGUGUCAGUGUAGGAAAAAAAGACACUGUGGGAAAGGCUUUUUAGAAAGACAUAAAACAACAGUGGCACCAUUUAUAUCUUAAACUGACAGACCAAUGAUGAUUAUUGCAAGGACAGUGCCCUGUAUGUGUCAGACAAUUUGCAAAUAAUUUAUGUCAUCUUUUCUACUAUUAUCUCCACCGAGGGCUUAAACUGUGUUGCCAAUAUUAAACCUCCAGCAAAGAAGGAGGAAAUACCAGAGAGGAGUGGGAAAAAGAGGGGAAAAAGCGCCAAGCUCAGCUUUUUUCCUGACUGAGGACGCAGAGCCAUCUGUACAGAGACAAACGUGCAUAUGGCCGUCAUUUGUCCAACAUCUUACAUGAUGUGAAGGCUUUUCACUUGGAAUGCCAACCUAUGUGGCAGAUGAUGUAUGUGUUUCUUCAGUCCUGUGAUUACUAGCACGAAGCUGCAGUGCAAUGCUCUUCACCUCAUCAGUUCCACACGCUGCACUCCAAGGGAGAUCAAGAUUAUCAAAGAGCUGACCAGGUCCAGGAGCAACCGAAAGAUGACCUACCAAAAGCAAGCGGUUGAGUGAUCUCUGACCAGACAGAAUGGUGGGCCAUCUUCACUCUGCGUUGACACCCUGUACACAACGCAGCA
rnacentral:lncRNA from 1 species